rnacentral:rRNA from 1 species
UAGUCCACGCCGUAAACGAUGGAUACUAGGUGUCCGGGAAGUUAACCUCCUGGGUACUACAGCUAACGCGUUAAGUAUCCCGCCUGGGGAGUACGGUCGCAAGGCUAAAACUCAAAGGAAUUGACGGGGGCCCGCACAAGCGGUGGAGCAUGUGGCUUAAUUCGAUGCAACGCGAAGAACCUUACCUGGGCUAAAUCCACAUCGCAACCUCUGGAAACAGAGGGUUUCUUCGGAACGAUAUGGAAGGUGCUGCAUGGUUGUCGUCAGCUCGUGCCGUGAGGUGUCAGGUUAAGUCCUAUAACGAGCGCAACCCCUGUUGUUAGUUGCCAGCGAGUCAUGUCGGGAACUCUAACAGGACUGCCAGUGCAAACUGUGAGGAAGGUGGGGAUGACGUCAAAUCAUCACGGCCCUUACGUCCUGGGCUACACACGUGCUACAAUGGUAGGUACAGAGGGCAGCCACUGCGUGAGCAGGAGCGAAUCCUUAAAACCUAUCUCAGUUCGGAUCGGAGUCUGA